UGCCAGCAGCCGCGGUAAUACGAAGGGACCUAGCGUAAUUCGGAAUUACUGGGCUUAAAGAGCGCGUAGGCGGUUGAAAAAGUUAAUGGUGAAAGCCCAAAGCUUAACUUUGGAACUGCCAUUAAAACUUCUUAGCUAGAGUAUGAUAGAGGAAAGCGGAAUACAUAGUGUAGAGGUGAAAUUCGUAGAUAUUAUGUAGAACACCAGUUGCGAAGGCGGCUUUCUGGGAUAACACUGACGCUGAGGUGCGAAAGUAUGGGUAGCGAAGAGGAUUAGAUACCCUCGUAGUCCAUACCGUAAACGAUGAUUGUUAGAUGUUGGAAAUUUAUUUUCAGUAUCACAGCUAACGCGUUAAACAAUCCGCCUGGGGAGUACGACCGCAAGGUUAAAACUCAAAUGAAUUGACGGGGACCCGCACAAGCGGUGGAGCAUGUGGUUUAAUUCGAAGCUACGCGCAGAACCUUACCAACACUUGACAUGUCUGUCGCGGAUUUCCAGAGAUGGAUUCCUUCGGUUCGGCCCGGACAGAACACAAGUGCUGCAUGGCUGUCGUCGGCUCGUGUC
rnacentral:rRNA from 1 species